AUUUUGUAGCACAUUAAAGAUGAAACCAUCAUGAUCUUUCCUAAAUAAUUUUUCACUUUGGUGGUGUUGAAGUUCUGUUAAUCAUUUUCAAUGUUUAUUCUCAAUUUACCUUAGCAAAAAGCUCUAUACUAGUGCUGAAGGGAGUCAGUCCUAAUAAAGUAAUAAAGUAAGAAAUGGAAUGAUCAUCCAUAUUAGUUAGCAUAGGGGUUCACCUGCUGUCACCAACACCAAUGAUGGCAGUGAUCUUCAUAGUCCCAGUAUAAGGAAUCCUGUGCUGGUUUGGAGACUUGACUAUAUCAGGGACACACCUUCCCCUCUCUGCCAACCAUACAGUAUUCCUUGGUCAGCAUGAUCCCAGCUGGUUCACUAUUGCAUCCUCAUUCCAGCCAGUGGGAGGGGUUACAGGACUGAGCCUUUCUUCCUUUGAAGGACAUGCAUCAUUUCCACAUCCAUCCAAAAUAUCCCAUGGCCAGAAAUUGAUCACAUGACCACAUCAAGAUGCAAGAAACAAUGGAAGAAGUGGUCAUUUUUUUUUCUGGGGGUACUUGAUCCCAACUAAAAAUUGUGUAGCUUAGAUGAGGGGAAUGGAUAUUGAAGGACAAAUGGCAGUUUCUGACACAGUACCCCUAUGACAUUUUUAUUGCCACACAAUGCAGGAUCCAAGGUGUGUCUCUGAUCUACACCACAGCUCACAGCAAUGGCGGAUCAUUAACCCACAGAGUAAGGCCAGGGAUUGAAUCCACAACCUCGUGGUUCCUAGUUGGAUUUGUUAACCACCGAGCCGUGACGGGAACUCCUACUGUGACAUUUUUGAUUCGCCUAUUCCAGAUGGGCUGUGCUACAUCAUGCUGCCCCUUCUUGUGAACUGGAUUUCAAGAGCAACCAGUUCUUUUACAAAGACAUCAAUAUUUAUGAUCUCACUGGUUUCACUAAUUCAACUAUCAUUUAGUGAACACCUACCUUGUGACAAGUUAUGCUAUAAGUACUGAAGAUAAAAAAUUAAAUAACACUCUGUCUUUUCCUCACACUAGAUGGUAGGUGCUCUCCUCAGAGCCUGCUGCAUCCCUCAGGGCCCCAGAGAUGCUGAUUUCUGAGUCCUCACUUCCUUAGGAGGGUAAUGUUCCCCUUGCCUUCCUUGCCUUUCAGGAUUAGAAGAUUGAGUUAUGGAGAUCUGAGUUCUGGUCUCUCUGGCAUCAGGCCAUUGUGAAAGGUCCUUUCCUUUCAGGCAGAAAACCGACAAAGUCAGGCACUUUGCUCUGAGGCUUUCAUUUGCGUUUCUAAGUUGAUUGCCUAAAACUGAGACCGCUUUCCCUGUGGGGAGAGGGAUGGACUGGGCUUCUUAAAGUGUGUGUGUGUGUGUGUGUGUGUGUGUGUGUGUGUGUGUGGUGUGUGUGUGUGUGUGUGUGUGUGUGUGUGGUGUGAUCCCUGAGAAAAAAGGUGGAACUUCAUGCCAAACUGUUGGAAAGAGAAGAGAGGGCAGAGUGUGGGUGGGGUAAUAGGACCCUGUGUCCUUCUUUGAUGUUGUCCCCUUAGGGAGCCCUUAUUAGAGCCUUCUCUAGCCUUCUUCUCUCUAGUCCCUUGUAACUAGCUUCACCUCUGUCACUUUCUCCUUUCACUCCACUGGCCUCCAAGGUGUUUAGCCAGCCAAGCUUGCUCCCUCCUUAUGGCCUUUAUGUUCUGUGUCCCUUCUGUGUGGGCCACUCUCCCCUGAGUCAUGAGGUUAACCUCUGACUUCCUUCAGGUCUUUACUCACCUUCUCUGUGAGGCCUUCCAUGGCCACUCUUUCAAAACUGUCAGCCUUUCAUCCCGAUGCUCUAUACAUUUCCCUGCUCUACUAUGUCUCCUGAGCACUCACUAUUGUUUACUUAAUUUCUGCUAGAAACAGAGCGGAAUGGACAAUAAAAGACAGAUAAUCUCCAGGGGAACAUGGAUUUUUGUCUGUUUGUUUCUUUCUUUUUUUUCUUUUUACAGCUGCACCUGUGGCACAUGGAAGAUCCAGGGCUAGGGCCUGAAUCAAAGCUGCAGCUGAGCCCUAUGCCACAGCCAUGGCAACAUCUAAAACCUGUGCUGCAGCUUAUGGCAGUGCUGGAUCUUUAACACAGUGAGUGAGGCUAGGGUUCAAACCUGCAUCCUUACAGAGACUGUGCUGGGUCCUUAACUCCCUGAGCCACAAUAGGAACUCCUGUCUGUUUUUUUCAUACUCUGUCUUAUAGAAUAGUUCUUUGUACAUGGUACAUUCUUUAGUAAGUAUUUGUUAAGUGAAUGAAUAAUGACAAAAUUCCCUAAGUCUCAGCUAGACAAAUAGGAAGUAUAAUCUCCUUCAUUUAAAUUGAUCAUAUGAUUUGGACAAUUGGAAUUUCAGUAGAAAUUCUUGACUUUAGAAUUGAAGACUCCCCUAAGCUUGUUGGCUAGUAUAGGGAAUCUUAGUAACAAAGGGCAUAAAGUCACAUAGUUUAUGAUAGUUUUAAUCAUAGUUUAUGAUUUUUUGAAGAUGAAGGAGAUGUGGCAUUUCUUGCAUCACAAUGUUUUGAGCAAAGUGUAGCCAGUUCACCUUGAGUGUGCACAAAAGCCAGCCUUGCCGCCUCCUGCUAGCUUUUGUUGGUGCAAGUAUGCCUGGCAGUUUGACUUGAGAAUGGCAUUAAGGACUUGCCAUGGUGCUGACAUGAGAAGUGAGAAAUGGCAAGUGCAUGGAACUAGCACAGGGAGCAAAGGGUCAGUGUUUCAAUACCAGCCAUGGCUUAGUUGAUAAGAUACUGCAAAUGAGUACUUCAUGUGUGUGUGUGAGUCUCUGUGUGUCACAUAAGAAGCAUAUAUUGUGUUAUGUGCACAAUGGCCAGUGAAUUUGAUGCCUCUUUUAUGGAUGCUAUUGGAUGUGUCAGCACUUCUUCCAUUCCCUUCUGUCUUGAGGUGUGUGGAAAUUUCUCCUGUGCCAUCCUUUACUUUGAUAAAGGAAUUGAAAAUAAGGUCUCCUCUCUUUGCUUUUGACUUCUCCAUUCAUAUAAUUGGUUUUCCUCCUUUGCUCAGUGCUCCCUAUGGUCACAUCAUAUUACAAAUUAUUAUAUAAUAAAAGUUGUUGCCUUGUAUUUUCUUUCCUACCUGUUUCCUACAGAACUUGGGAGAAAUAAAAGGAAUUGACCCAGGUUAAGAUGACAAAAAUAAUUAUCCCUCGUUUAAAAGAAGAAAAGUUUACAUUAAUAGACUAAUUCAAAUUUAUUUAAUUUUGCACAGAAUUAAAAAAAGCAUCUCACUGAAAAGUAACAUGAAAAAGAAUAUUAAAAUUCUUGAUAAGUUAAGGGGUUAGAAACUACCAUUUAUUGACUAUGUAUAGGGUACCAUCUAGAAAUUCAGUAACUGAGCUGAGAAAUUGAUGUUAUCCCAUUUUACAGGGAAAGAAACCAAGCUUCAGGGAUGUUAAUAAAUGCUAAGGACAUAUUAGUAGGAAGUGGGAGAGGCUGGAUUUGUAUUUAGAUGUGUCUGAUUCCAACUAAACUUUACUAUGCUGGUUUCCAACUGUCUUUAAAUUCAGAGUGUUCUUAAAAUUUCAGUACUGUACAUUCUAAAUUGAAAGCACUGUAUUUCAUUUCUAAGUAAGAUCAUCUUUUCCCUUUGCCAGAAAUAAUAUCUUUGAUUGCUCUAGCGCUUGGUUUGUAUGAAUUGCUUUCCUUGUUUUCUCAAUGCCAUGCAGGGAUUUAAAGUUCCUUGCUGUUAAAAACAGAGAUGAGUUACCUCAUUUUUGAAAUUCCUACACUGAGUUUCAAAAGCAAAAACAUGUCAUUAGGAGCUUAGGCUCAGAAUCUGAAUUUCAUCUUCUCUGCUUACUUACUGCAUAAUAGUGGCCACAUUCCUUAAUUAGGCUGUACCUCAAUAUCUCUAUCUGUAAAACAGAGGUAAUAUCAUCAAUAUAAAGAUUAAAAUAGUUAAUGUGUUAAUACAAUUAAAGUGCUUUUAAACAGAGCCUGACACACAAACAUCACCAAUAAAAUUUUUAUUUCUACCCAGGCAUGGCAAUCAUAAAGAGACAAUCAUUUUCAUUUUCUGGAACAUAGGAUAUUAGUUUCCUAAGGAUCCUUUCCUUCCAUGUCUUCCUGUUAACUAUCUGCUAGGGUUAUACCAGCUGCGCAUGGUGCUUUUUCACUCAAGAGGAAGACAUCUGAAAAUAGGCCUGUCUGUCUCUUUUAUUUUUAAAUUCAUACAUUUGUAAUGAAAAAAGCAAACUGAUCAUCAUUGGAGGAUCUUAGUGGACCAACUCAGUAUUUUGAAAAUUGGUCAGUACAGCAACAUACUAAAGGCCUAUCCUUCAUUUCCUGUGUGGACUGUCCUACUAGAUAAUCAAUAGUAGAAAAGGAAUUAUUUCUUUUCACAGAAGAGUGCAUGGAUCUAGGCAUUGGACAUCAAUACCCCUAAGAUCAAAGAGAGACAUAGAUAGAUAGACAGAUAGAUAGAUAUAUAGAUAGAUAGAUUAUGUGAUUCCAUUUAAUUGAACAUACCAUCAAUAAAGUAGUCUUAUUAAACACUAUAAUUUAUGGAGUUCCCAUUGUGGCUCAGCAAUAACGAACCUGAUUAGUAUCCGUGAGGACAUGGGUUCAGUCCCUAGCCUUGCUCAGUGGGUUAAGGAUCUGAUGCUGCUGUGAGCUGUGGUGUAGGUUGCAGACAUGGUUUAGUGUUGCUUAGGCUGUGGUGUAGGCAGGCAGCUUCAGCUCUGAAUUGACCACUAACGUGGGAACUUCCAUUUGACGUGGGUGCAACCCUGAAAAAAGAAAAGAAAAGGAAAAAAGAAAAAAAAGAAAAAAAA
rnacentral:lncRNA from 1 species